GUCCCCGUAGCUCAGGAGGACAGAGCGGCGGUUUCCUAAACCGCAGGUCGCAGGUUCGAAUCCUGCCGGGGACG
rnacentral:tRNA from 1 species